rnacentral:misc_RNA from 1 species
AAGUCGUAACAAGGUUUCCGUAGGUGCCGGUCGGUGAGCGACCUCUAGCAAUCGUUGAGGCGAGAUCCUUAGACAAUCAAUGACACUUUCAGACACUGACUGCUUCGGGAUGCCAUGCAGCUAUCUCCGCUCAAUCGUAACUGUAACUUCUCAUUUGUCAGAAGUCCCGAAUCAAAAGCUGUUCGACAAUGAUUUACCGGGAUUGCUGGAUCGCACUGGGCUACGAGAGCAGGUUUGAAUGUUCACAGGGGGGUUUUUUACGUUGGAUACGUGGUAAUGAUCCUUCCGCAGGUUCAGGGUCCCCACGCCCCUUUACAAUCCGAUUACCUCUGUGAGUCUAGGCGGACGCACUAGGCUAAAAAAACCUCGAACAACUGUUAACAAUGGAUAUCUUGGUUCUC